rnacentral:lncRNA from 1 species
ACAUAUGUUCGGGGGAGGGACCCCAGAAGGCGGCUGACAGUAUUCCUUUAGCCAGAAAUCCCUUCAGGGAAGAGAAAGGUGCUCCCCUUUGCCUGCUUUUAUACUACAGACUGUUUCCAACUCCAGCUAGAAGUGACUAUUGCCGAUUAUGCUAAUCAGUGGCGACAAGCUCCCUUUGACUGCUCACUUCUCCAGUGAGGCUUCAAGCUUCUAGGCAUCAAGAUUAGUAAGGCUGUCUUCUGGUAUUUUCCAGAAAAUAUUUCAAGCAGAAUAUACUUAUUUUCCAGUUUUGAAAACAACUAGAUUGCCCAUCUCCAUUUCUCUCUAUCAUCUACUGUAUUAUUCUAUGGACAACUGCCACCCUAAUAAGGUCAAGAAGGGAAGCCAGAAGUCAAGGCCACAGAAGACACAGGAAACAUCAUUUCCAAAGUGGGAGACAAAGCUGUUAACAGGAAAUUAUUUGUAAAGUCAAGAGCCAAGCAAAACAGAAAAAGGACAAGAAAUCUAUCACCUGUGGGUAUGAAUGGUUCUAGGGAAGUCUGUUGACAAUUGGAGGGUCUCAAAGGCGCUUUAUGGUACUUAUUUUAUGACCCUGAGUCUGGAGUCUGAUGAAUUAAAGAGGAAAUUCUGCUCUGGGCAACAUUUAAGAGAUAGUAUCUCCAGGCAGUAACUUUCGUAUUAACUCUCAUAAGAUUGAUGCCAUUCUGUCAUCUAAAGUGUGGACAAAAGUAGCAUUAAAGCAAAAUGAAAGGAUA